GUCUACGGCCAUACCACCCUGAACGCGCAGGAUCUCAUCUGAGCUCGGAAGCUAAGCAGGGUCAGGCCUGGUUAGUACUUGGAUGGAGAAAUAAGUAACUACAGCUA
rnacentral:rRNA from 1 species